rnacentral:rRNA from 1 species
UACGUAGGUGGCAAGCGUUGUCCGGAAUUAUUGGGCGUAAAGCGCGCGCAGGCGGUCCUUUAAGUCUGAUGUGAAAGCCCACGGCUCAACCGUGGAGGGUCAUUGGAAACUGGGGGACUUGAGUGCAGAAGAGGAAAGCGGAAUUCCACGUGUAGCGGUGAAAUGCGUAGAGAUGUGGAGGAACACCAGUGGCGAAGGCGGCUUUCUGGUCUGUAACUGACGCUGAGGCGCGAAAGCGUAGGGAGCAAACAGG